rnacentral:rRNA from 1 species
UUGGAGGGCAAGUCUGGUGCCAGCAGCCGCGGUAAUUCCAGCUCCAAUAGCGUAUAUUAAAGUUGUUGCAGUUAAAAAGCUCGUAGUUGAAUUUCGGGAUCAAUAUACCGGUCGUGCCUCAGGUAUGAACUGGUCUUAUUGGUUUCUCCCUUCUGACGAACCAUGAUGUCAUUAAUUUGAUGUCGUGGAGAAUCAGGACUGUUACUUUGAAAAAAUUAGAGUGUUUAAAGCAGGCUAACGCUUGAAUACAUUAGCAUGGAAUAAUGAAAUAGGACGUUCGAUCCUAUUUUGUUGGUUUCUAGGAUCGACGUAAUGAUUAAUAGGGAUAGUUGGGGGCAUUAGUAUUCAAUUGUCAGAGGUGAAAUUCUUGGAUUUAUUGAAGACUAACUACUGCGAAAGCAUUUGCCAAGGAUGUUUUCAUUAAUCGAGAACGACCGUUAGGGGAUCGAAGACGAUCAGAUACCGUCGUAGUCUUAACCAUAAACUAUGCCGACUAGGGAUCGGAUGAUGUUAAUUUUAUAAUGACUCAUUCGGCGCCUUACGGGAAAC